AGGACGAACGCUGGCGGCGUGCCUAACACAUGCAAGUCGAGCGGGGUCCAUCCAGUGGCAACACUGGUGAAGACCUAGCGGCGAACGGGUGAGUAACACGUGAGGAACCUGCCCCGAAGUCUGGGAUAACACCGGGAAACCGGUGCUAAUACCGGAUGUCGUCUCGGAAUCGCAUGAUUCCAUGACGAAAGAUUUAUCGCUUCGGGAGGCCUCGCGGCCUAUCAGCUUGUUGGCGGGUAACGGCCACCAGGCUACGACGGUUGCUGGUCUGAGAGGACGAUCAGCCACACGUGGGACUGAGACACGGCCCAGACCUCCUACGGGAGGCAGCAGUGGGAAUAGUUGCGCAAUGGGGACGAAAGCCUGACGCAGCGACGCCGCGGUGGGGGAAGAAGGGUCCGU
rnacentral:rRNA from 1 species